GGGUUUUUGCUUCUAGUUGCUUUAAUCUGAGAUUUCAGCAAUUAAAAUUGGAUUAUUUAGCUGUGAAUUAAGCUCCUUAGACCAGGGAUAAGCUUCUUUGAAGAUUAAUUGAGAUAAUUAGCCAUUUAUGAAGCUAUUUCGGACUAUACACGGGUUAUGCGAUCGAAUUGAUGCAGUUUGGACUUGUUCCUCCGCAGCAGGUUCUCGAACCACUUGGAGCUUAUUUGGUGACCUUGGAAGCUGGUUCGGAAGGUAUUCUAACCUGAGCGGGAGCUCGACCGACCUUUGGGUCAUCCUUGGUUGGCUUUGGGAAGCCUUUAGAGACUUAAUUGGAGCAGCAUUGGGGCUUCGUUGAGCCGUUUGUGGGACUUCUUGUGGAUAAUUGGAGCCUUGUACUAGAGCCUGUUACAGGAGAGGCUAGGGAUCGUGGCAAGGGAGUCGCGCCUAGCUAGGGACUA